UACAGAGGGGGCAAGCGUUGUUCGGAAUUACUGGGCGUAAAGUGUGCGCAGGUGGCUUCGCAAGUCGAGUGUGAAAUCCCCGGGCUUAACCUGGGAAUUGCGCUCGAAACUACGGAGCUGGAGUGUGGCAGAGGGAGGUGGAAUUCCACGUGUAGCGGUGAAAUGCGUAGAGAUGUGGAGGAACACCAAUGGCGAAGGCAGCCUCCUGGGCCAACACUGACACUCAUGCACGAAAGCGUGGGGAGCAAACAGG
rnacentral:rRNA from 1 species